CGCCGGAAGCUGGACGAUGAUUUGUAGGUGGUAGCCGGCGGGUCGGCGGCGCAGCGAGCUCGCCUUAGCCGAAGCAGCCACGACGACUCCCGCCUCUCUGGCGGACAAGGACCCUCAUCAGAAUUUGUCUUCAAAAGUCCAAUGUUCAGUGUACCAAUCCAGAGUUGCCGAAGCAGCACGGCGACUCCCGCCUCUCUGACUCCCCAUAAUGAGAUGAAUACGAUCGAGGGGAACGGGAUUGCUGCCAUAUUGCUGCGCCUUCAGUAUUCUUCCUGCUGGAGCAUACAAGUUUGGAAAUGGGAUAGUCCUGAUGUAGCUGAACUUUGGUUUCUGUCCUUCUGCCGUGGUGUACAGCUUCUAUCUCAUGGUUUAGCUGCACUACCUGGUACUUUGUUUGUUCUUCUAAAAUUUAAAUUCAGAGAGAUGCUAUUACUGCCGUGGAGUAGGUUAGUUCUAUAGUUGCUAAGGCAGUUCACUUUUUAAAUUUUAUAUGUUGUAUUGUCUGCUGCUGAUGGAUGAUCAGCGGCAAUGAAAAUGCUUGAUUAGUGGCAGCGCUACCAGGUGGCAAGCAGGGAGCGUCGCCUUGGUCGUGUGUGAUCUUUCGGCCACACCCUUGACACAAGUGUUUUCUCGGAUGCACGUUGUCUUUCGACUAUGUCGACGGUGCAGUGUCGCGGCUGAGUCUUGAUUGACCAAGGUCGUUCGAUUACUCAAGUGAUGCCUCGAGUUGGGUUGUCACUCCCGCUGUCAUGUUCAACAGGUUCUUCCUUGUGAUCGUUGUGCUUGUAUCGUGAUGGGUUUUCUCAUCAGUCAAAUGUCUCCGAGAAUUCUCGAAGUGAACCCUUUUCUCUCUCAGCUUUUGUGCGUUGUUGGUGUGUGUGUGUGCGUGCGUGUUUUUCCAUUUAUUUCUCCUCAUGUAACCCCUCUUGA